GACGAACGCUGGCGGCGCGCCUAACACAUGCAAGUCGAACGAGCGAGAGAGAGCUUGCUUUCUCGAGCGAGUGGCGAACGGGUGAGUAACGCGUGAGGAACCUGCCUCAAAGAGGGGGACAACAGUUGGAAACGACUGCUAAUACCGCAUAAGCCCACGACCCGGCAUCGGGUAGAGGGAAAAGGAGCAAUCCGCUUUGAGAUGGCCUCGCGUCCGAUUAGCUAGUUGGUGAGGUAACGGCCCACCAAGGCGACGAUCGGUAGCCGGACUGAGAGGUUGAAAGGCCACAUUGGGACUGAGACACGGCCCAGACUCCUACAGGAGGCAGCAGUGGGGAAUAUUGCACAAUGGGCGAAACCCUGAUGCAGCGACGCCGCGUGGAGGAAGAAGGUCUUCGGAUUGUAAACACCUGUUGUUGAGGAAGAUAAUGACGGUACUCAACAAGGAAGUUACGGCUAACUACGUG
rnacentral:rRNA from 1 species